CCCACCCCUUUCCACCCAACUCCCAUUCCAAUCACCCAUCACUUCCCCUGUUCUCUCUCUUUUUCCAUCUCUCUCCUUCCUAUCUGAACCUCACGACCCACCCCUUUCCACCCCACUUCCAUUCCAACCGCCCAUCACUUCCCCUUUUCUCUCUCUUUUUCCAUCUCUCUCCUCCCUACCUGAACCAAAUUCGCGGUCCUCCCUAUAUUAGGGAUGGCCAUGUCUUCUACCCAACAAAGCUCACCAUGAAACCCAUCUCCAAUUCCACCUCCCUCACCUCAUUCUCCAGCUCCUGUGUCUUCUCUGUCUCCCCCAUCUCCCCCCCUUCCCCGAGAUCGCUUCAAGCCCAUGUUUCAGCCUCUCAUUCGUCCUCUUCAACUCCACCUCCCCCGCAAUGCCCUUGCCAACCAAUACUUCAGCCUCUUCACCAACGCCAUCAUCCCCUUCAUCGCUCGGUUGCUUGUCGUCGAGUUCUAUACCGGGAAAAACUCAUAAUUCAACGACCCAGAUGGAAACCACAUCGGCAUCUACCUCAACAACAAUUUGCCCGUGUUUCAGCUGAGUUCUUCUUCGUCUUAUUUGUCUUAUUGAGCAAUCUGUAGCAUCACAAUCGGUUGUGUGGUUGUGGUGUUGGUUUUAGCAUUUGGGAUUUACUUGUAUUGGAUUGCAGGCUGUGGAUUUGGUUCAGGAAAGAAGGAAGGAGAGAGAGAGAGAGAGAGAGAACAUACAUACCAAGUCACUGAAACUAAUCACCUUGGUUAGGAAGUGUGGAAACGUACAUGCCAGGUCAUGUAAGCACCUGUACUUGAAAAUAAAUUGUGUCAUUAAUCAGCAGGGAAAUACGGAAAUGUUUUAUUUUGGUGAUAA
rnacentral:lncRNA from 1 species